GACCUGGUGGUUCAGGACAUGGGUUCAGGACCAUGGAGAGCAUCUGUGAGGGCGAGGCCCUCUCCCAAAACAAAAAAAGAACUCGAAUUGCCUGAAGAGUAGGAGAGCUGAGCUGGAGGCAAGGGCUUCAUGCUGGCUCUGCAAUCCAACCAGUUGUGUCGCCCUGGGACAAUCAUCAGAGGAGGGGACCUGCAGGAAGGUCAAGAGGCAGGAGGGAUCCUGAGGUUUGAAAGUCAUCCUCCCGCAGAAAUGCAAGCCAUUCUCAGAGCACAUGCUCCCCUCCCCCACCACCACCACGGAGACUGCUCCACUUAGCUGCCUGGGCUUCUGGGCAUUAUUCCAAUAUUGAAAGGUAUGAGGGACCCCAGUCCUGACAGCCCUUUCCCCCACCUUACACGGCUUGAGGGAAAUGUGGGAAACCCCUGAAGUAGGCUCUUCUACUCCUCUGGACUGCAGCCCUGACCCGGACC
rnacentral:lncRNA from 1 species